AGCAGCACUGAAUUCUGGGAGGGUGUGGCCAUGGAAACACAAAUGUAUGACUCACCAAUCAGUAAUUGAUCACAGUGGCAACCAUGGUUACACGUUUCUUAAGAGACGACGUGGUGAUUUAACAAUAAGAGCCUUCACAUACACCGUUCUUAUUUUGUAAAUACUAACAAUACCCAGGAGCCUCAGCUGAUAUUGCCAUGGAGACAAGGCCGCAAUGUUCCUGAAGGGUUCUACAAAGGGUUACCUUUAGCUUCUUAAAGCUCUUUGUUGAUGAGAUGCAUCUUGGGGGUUGAAGCAUUUUCUGAAUCCGGGAUUCAAGAUUAAAGACCCUAACCUGACAAUCAACCUGUGUGGGACAGCAGCAGGUGGGCGGGGCUUCAUUCUGGUACAAUGUUAAUGAGUUGAAGUAAUGAUUUUUCAUUUUGUCGGAUCAUUUUCUGAAACAAAUGAAAAUUUGAAAAAAAUCAAUAAAAAACUAUUUAAAAAAGAAAUGUUCGUAAAUGUGUGUCUGUGUGAGCAAGAAUAAAGGGGGAACAGUCUGAGUACUGGAGGGAAACAGACACGGUGAGAUGUCAAUGGUAAAGAUCCUCUAUCACACCGAAACCAAAAGUCCUGAAAGAAUCCCUGAACGCUGAUCUGAAGUCAGCACUGGGCUGCAGGAAGCUGAUUUGUUAACAUGCGGCGCAGUAACUGAAAAGGGGCGGGGCAAACGCAGAGAGGAGCCAAUCAUCACAGGUGCUGCCAGUCGAUGGCUACCAGCGUUUGAUUGGCCUCCUGAGCGUGACCUAUGACCUCAGCGAUGCCGUGCUGACGCCACAGACGCUCAAUCUUCCUGUAGCGCUCAACGCAGAGGUGGAGGGGGUUCCCCCGCCUGCAGGUAAACAAACAAACUAAUCAAUAAAUCAAUAAACAAAAGGUGGAGGGGGUUCCCCCGUCAGUAGGUAAACAAACAAACUAAUCAAUAAAUCAAUAAACAAAAGGUGGAGGGGGUUCCCCCGUCAGUAGGUAAACAAACAAACUAAUCAAUAAAUCAAUAAACAAAAGGUGGAGGGGGUUCCCCCGUCAGUAGGUAAACAAAUAAACUAAUCAAUAAACAAAGGUGGAGGGGGUUCCCCCGCUUGCAGGUAAACAAACAAACUAAUCAAUAAAUCAAUAAACAAAAGGUGGAGGGGGUUCCCCCGUCAGUAGGUAAACAAAUAAACUAAUCAAUAAAUAAAUAAACAAAGGGAGGGGGUUCCUCUGCCUGCAGGUAAACAAACAAACUAAUCAAUAAAUCAAUAAACAAAGGUGGAGGGGGUUCCCCCGCCACCAGGUAAACAAAUAAACUAAUCAAUAAAUAAAUAAACAAAGGGAGGGGGUCCCCCCGCCUGCAGGUAAACAAACCGAUCACUAUAGGAAAGCACCUACUUGAGGCCCUGGUCCGUCUCCCCGUAGUCGUCCAGGUACGGAGGAGGAUAGAAGCAGCCCUUUGUUUUACCUGCUACAAACAGCACCUGACUUUCUCUUACCCUGCACGCAACACACACAGACACACACACAGACACACAGUCAGAGUGUGUACAGUGUACAGUGUGUAGUGUGUGCAUCUGCAGUAGAGCACAGGGCCCCGUUCCUCGUACGUGGCUAGCUGCGUUAGCCGGAUAAGAUGACAAGGAUCAGGCUUUUCGGUUCAAAUCACCACAGCAACACAUCCACAAACUUGAACCUGCUCCGGCGCAGCUUCAUUUGAGCGGCUGGAUUAAUUCGCCACUCCCCCGGAAAACAAGGCAGCUCUCUUCCUCACUGAUAAAGGGAAGCCGCUGCAUGUUGUGUUCUUCAUAAAGUUCAGUUGGUUUAUUUGACACUUUUCAUGUUCCACGUUUCACUGCUUCAAUUGAUCAAAUGUCUGAUGACACACUGAUUCGCCCACACACACACACACACACACACACACACACACACACACACACACACACACACACACACACACACACACACACACACACACACACACACAAUAAAACUCCUAGUUCUAUUUGGUCAUCUACAUACAUAUGAUACAUAAUACAUGUAUUUAUCUACUUAUUCUGAAAUUGGAUGGUGAUGAAUUCCCUUUAAAGAACUAUAAUCUGAUUGAUUAGAGUGAUGAGGCACUUAAAAUGAGCGUGAAUCAGCCUUGGAGGAACCGAGACAGGCUGACAUUAAUCAUCUCGUUAAAUUGAUCUGGAUAAUGUGACAUUUGAUCGACUUUGUUGAACCACGGUAGGAAAAAUAGGGCCCUGGUGUGUUACCUGAGGAAGAGACCAAGGCCGGCUCCACAGGUGAAGGUGUGGGCGGUGCAGGCACCUACGUCCUCUCCGUCCACCUCCGUCUGACAGCAGUAACUCUGAGAACACAACAUGGAGCCGCACACCAGACACAGAGUGGGAGCUCGGGACUUAUCUCCUCCGGACCGGGGACACCUGCACAGGUGAAGGUGGGACGGAGGAAAUUGAUGAGUAGAUGAAGAACAGUCAGAGGAGCUGGUCAGUGCACAUAAGGUAUAUACAUGUACAUAUAAACAUAUAUGUACAUGUAUAUGUAUAUUAGGGCUGUCGAUGGAUUAAAAAUGUAACUAAUUAAUCGCACAUUUUGGAAUUCGUUCAUCUUAUAUAUAUUAUAUAUAUAUAUACUAUUUAGACACUGUUGUCUAUUGUUAAUGUUAUUUUAAACACAAAACUACACACAUCUGAUCACCUUGGAGGCAGAAUUACACCGAGUGGAAUAUGUUGAACUAGCAACUCUUCCAGCUAGCUUAGCUUAGCAUAGCGGUGCUUUAAGGGGUCCGUUUGCCACUCACCCCCCUUCACUUUGUUCUCUGCUGUAUGUGGUGCCUCUGUUGGUUUUACUUCCAAUGCAAAAAGCUGUCUCAUCUUGAGCUACCGUCCUGCUUUCUCCGAUGUAACCGACUGCAGCUAGCGGCCGUUUCGUUUCCGCCGUCUACUUCUGAUAAACAAAGGUACCUUAACUACGUUAGAGUAUUUUGUCGCAUUAAUCUUGGCCACAUUAAUCGCAUAGAUUAAUGCGUUUAUGUUCACAGCCCGUAUACAGUGAUCCCUCGCCACUUCGCGGUUCACUUAUCGCGGAUUCGCUAUUUCGCGGAUUUUCAUAUUGCAUUUUUUUUUUUUUGGUGCAUUGUGCUCUGCAUUCUGAUUCGCUAAAAACUCACUCCCGAGCCGUUCAUUACAGUUCUCCAACGUCAUCGAUGGUGGCAUGUCGGUGUACAAGGAUCUUUUUGCAAAGAAGAAAAAAGAGCGACAACAGCUGCCUAUCACUAUGUUCUUCUCCCGAACAAACACACCUGCACCGCGGGCUUCAGAAGAAGAGAACACUGCAGAGCGCAGUCAGGAUGCAGCGGCCCAGUCUGAAGAGCAGUGAAACGGCCUACACGCGAGCCACUGUAUUUGUAUACAUGUAAUAGUUGCUAAUUGUAAAAAAAAAAAAAAGUUUUCUAUUUCGCGGAUUUCACUUAUCGCGGGUCAUUUUCGGAACGUAACCCCCGCGAUAAACGAGGGAUUACUGUAUACAUAUAUAUAUAUAUAUAUAUAGACAAAGGGUGUAUAUACAAUGUGUACUAAAAGUGUGUACUGUGAAUACAUACAGUGUGUAUUUGCAGUGUGUACUGUGAGUAUAUUCAGCGUAUACUAGCAAUGUGUAUAUGCAAUGUGUACUAAAAGUGUGUACUGUGAGUAUAUACAGUGUGUAUUUGCAGUGUGUAUAUACAGUGUGUAUUUGCAGUGUGUAUAUACAGUGUGUAUUUACAGUGCGUACUGAGAGUAUAUACAGUGUGUAUUUGCAGUGUGUACUGUGUGCAUAUACAGUGUGUAUUUGCAGUGUGUACUGUGAGUAUAUACAGUGUGUAUUUGCAGUGUGUAUUUGCAGUGUGUACUGUGAGUAUAUACAGUGUGUAUUUACAGUGUGUACUGUGUGUACAUACAGUGUGUAUUUGCAGUGUUCUGUGAGUAUAUACAGUGUGUAUUUGCAGUGCGUACUGUGAGUAUAAACAGUGUGUAUUUGCAGUGCGUACUGUGAGUAUAAACAGUGUGUAUUUGCAGUGUGUACUGUGAGUAUAAACAGUGUGUAUUUGCAGUGUGUACUGUGAGUAUAAACAGUGUGUAUU
ensembl:lncRNA